GAUGAACGCUGGCGGCGUGCCUAAUACAUGCAAGUCGAGCGAACGGACGAGAAGCUUGCUUCUCUGAUGUUAGCGGCGGACGGGUGAGUAACACGUGGAUAACCUACCUAAGACUGGGAUAACUUCGGGAAACCGGAGCUAAUACCGGAUAAUAUUUUGAACCGCAUGGUUCAAAAGUAAAAGACGGUCUUGCUGUCACUUAUAGAUGGAUCCGCGCUGCAUUAGCUAGUUGGUAAGGUAACGGCUUACCAAGGCAACGAUGCAUAGCCGACCUGAGAGGGUGAUCGGCCACACUGGAACUGAGCCACGGUCCAGACUCCUACGGGAGGCAGCAGUAGGGAAUCUUCCGCAAUGGGCGCAAGCCUGCCGGAGCAACGCCGCGUGAGUGAUGAAGGUCUUCGGAUCGUAAAACUCUGUUAUUAGGGAAGACCAUAUGUGUAAGUAACUGUGCACAUCUUGACGGUACCUAAUCAGAAAGCCACGGCUAACUACGUG
rnacentral:rRNA from 1 species